GAUGAACGCUGGCGGCGUGCCUAAUACAUGCAAGUCGAGCGAAUGGAUUAAGAGCUUGCUCUUAUGAAGUUAGCGGCGGACGGGUGAGUAACACGUGGGUAACCUGCCCAUAAGACUAGGAUAACUCCGGGAAACCGGGGCUAAUACCGGAUAACAUUUAGAACCGCAUGGUUCGAAAUUGAAAGGCGGCUUCGGCUGUCACUUAUGGAUGGACCCGCGUCGGAUUAGCUAGUUGGUGAGGUAACGGCUCACCAAGGCAACGAUGCGUAGCCGACCUGAGAGGGUGAUCGGCCACACUGGGACUGAGACACGGCCCAGACUCCUACGGGAGGCAGCAGUAGGGAAUCUUCCGCAAUGGACGAAAGUCUGACGGAGCAACGCCGCGUGAGUGAUGAAGGCUUUCGGGUCGUAAAACUCUGUUGUUAGGGAAGAACAAGUGCUAGUUGAAUAAGCUGGCACCUUGACGGUACCUAACCAGAAAGCCACGGCUAACUACGUGCCAGCAGCCGCGGUAA
rnacentral:rRNA from 1 species